rnacentral:rRNA from 1 species
UACGGGGGGGGCAAGCGUUGUUCGGAAUUACUGGGCGUAAAGGGCGCGUAGGCGGCCUUCUAAGUCAGACGUGAAAUCCCCCGGCUUAACCUGGGAACUGCGUCUGAUACUGGAGGGCUUGAGUGCGGGAGAGGGAUGUGGAAUUCCAGGUGUAGCGGUGAAAUGCGUAGAUAUCAGGAGGAACACCAAUGGCGAAGGCAGCUCGCUGGGACGUGACUGACGCUGAGACGCGAAAGCGUGGGGAGCAAACAGG